rnacentral:rRNA from 1 species
UUAGUUUAGGGGGAGACUCGGAAUUCCUGGUGUAGCGGUGGAAUGCGCAGAUAUCAGGAGGAACACCAACGGCGAAGGCAGGUCUCUGGGCCAAUACUGACACUGAGGAGCGAAAGUCUGGGGAGCGAACAGGAUUAGAUACCCUGGUAGUCCAGACCGUAAACGGUGGGCACUAGUUGUGGGAACCUUCCACGGUUUCUGCGACGCAGCUAACGCAUUAAGUGCCCCGCCUGGGGAGUACGAUCGCAAGAUUAAAACUCAAAGGAAUUGACGGGGCCCCGCACAAGCAGCGGAGCAUGCGGCUCAAUUCGACGCAACGCGAAGAACCUUACCAAGGCUUGACAUAUAGGGAAAAGUGGCAGAGAUGCCAUGUCCGCAAGGGCUCUAUACAGGUGGUGCAUGGUUGUCGUCAGCUCGUGUCGUGAGAUGUUGGGUUAAGUUCCGCAACGAGCGCAACCCUCGUUCUGUGUUGCCAGCAUUUAGUUGGGGACUCACAGGAGACUGCCGGGGUUAACUCGGAGGAAGGUGAGGAUGACGUCAAAUCAUCAUGCCCCCUUAUGUCUUGGGCUGCACGCAUGCUACAAUUGGCCGGUACAGAGGG